rnacentral:lncRNA from 1 species
CUGUGUCAUGCAUCAUCCAUUAAACAGACAUGAGUGGUCGAUAGGUGGAUCUCAUUGGCCUGUCUGUGUCAUGCUGCAGGAAAAUGUGUGAUGGUUUCCUUCUGCACAGAGUUACCUCUCUAGAAAUAGUAUGCAAGCCCUUCUUCUCUAUCAGAUUGUACAUUCAUUUCCAAAAGUAUAUAUAGGAAACCCAUUUUACUGAUCUCCAUUCUGUUUGUUACCUACCAUUGCCAGAUUACAUAUUUCAUUACCCCAGAAGGGAAGGUGAUGAAUAGAGUUGUGACACAACAGAAGGGCAAGGCUGCCAUCUGAAUUGUGUCGAUAGAAAGAUAGCUUGAUCUUCUUUCUACCUUUAUAUUUCAUUCGUCCUCUGGGUGACGACUCAACAAGACCUAUGGAACGAUCACACAACUUAAACAGUAGUGAUGCAUCCUCCCGAUUUCUUCAGUCCUAGCAGCCCUGUAAUUGUUCGGUCAUCCACAUGUGUUCAUUUGUUAUUUAUUUUCUCCACAUUUUCUUCUUUCUUGGAAUUAUACACCUGUCAAUUGACUUCUGGUGAUGUGAGUUUCUACUUUAUAUUUCAUAAGUCCUCAUUGCUAACGUAGGCCUUACUCACUCCCCAUGCUCGUCAUGGCGGUCUUUCUUCUCGGCACAUUUUGACAGAGUUAGUGACACUUUUUUUGUAACACUUUUGGACUGUGUGUCCAAUUAGGCCACAGUAGGUGCAAAUCGGUGGUUUAUUAUUUCUUUUGAACUGACUAGAAGCAGGAGGAGCAGUAGUAAAGGCCACCGGAGGAGACAGAUCCCUGGUCAAGGGACCAAUUCAUUCACAGCCAAUGUUCUUGCAUUGCCUCGGGCAUAGAAAAGCAUCUUCGCCUAUUGUCCGGGGAGGUUAGAAGUAGCUCGACCAUAAAGUUUAGAAUAUACUCGAUUGAAAGAAGGAGAGGGAGAGGUUUAAAUAUGCUCGACCAAUAAGGAGAAGAAGGAGAAUCGCUCA